UACAGAGGUCUCAAGCGUUUGUUCGGAUUCAUUGGGCGUAAAGAGCGUGUAGGCGGCCCGGUAAGUCCGCUGUAAAAGUCAAAGGCUCAACCUUUGAAUGUCAGUGGAUACUGCCGGGCUAGAGUCCGGAAGAGGCGAGUGGAACUCCUGGUGUAGCGGUGGAAUGCGCAGAUAUCAGGAAGAAUACCAACGGCGAAGGCAGCUCGCUGGGACGGUACUGACGCUGGAGACGCGAAAGCGUGGGGAGCGAACAGG
rnacentral:rRNA from 1 species